rnacentral:rRNA from 1 species
UGUGUAGGCGGCGCGGUAAGUCGGGUGUGAAAUCUCGGAGCUUAACUCCGAAACUGCAUUCGAUACUGCCGUGCUUGAGGACUGGAGAGGAGACUGGAAUCUACGGUGUAGCGGUGAAAUGCGUAGAUAUCGUAAGGAAGACCAGUGGCGAAGGCGGGUCUCUGGACAGUUCCUGACGCUGAGACACGAAGGCCAGGGAGCAAACG